rnacentral:rRNA from 1 species
GUUACAACAUUUACUUCAUAGCCACGCCUGUUUUUGUCUUCUAGGCGGGCUCAGUUUGCAUAGUCCUCGCCAAUGACCAUUUCAGAGCCUGGGCAUAACUUGCAGGAAUCCUGUUAGAUUCAGACAACCUUUUCAAGAUGUGCUCACAAAAAGAUUCAGAGGCAGUGCGAUUGCUCUUGUUCGGUAGCUCUGAGCAUAAGAGGCACGAAUUAUAUCAACAAUGUGAUGCGUACUCACAAUGAUCAUUCUUUCGUCGAGUUCUUGAAGAACACCUACAGAAAGUCAUCCUAGGAUGGUAAGUUUUCUCCAUAAUAUCUUCACAUGGUUCCCCGCCUAUUUGUUGGAAAUUCUUUGCUUAAGUUACUGUAUACUUAUCCGUGUCUAAGAUAAAUUUGCAAUAUGCCCAUUAAAUUAAAACAUCAUUGAUGAAUUAUUGUAGUUCAAAUUAACUAGGUGAUGGGUACAGUACUCCAGAGCAAAAGCAUUCAGUUUCAGGGACAUCACAAGAUGCUAAAAAAGUCCAAUUAAAAUAAUUUGGUCAUAAGACAUGUAAUAAUUGACUUCUAAAAAAUGAACUAGACGGUUAAAGUUUCUGAAAAUAACGCAGAGGUAACUUAGAUGGUUAAAGUUUCUAAAAAAUGAUCUAGAUGGUUAAAGUUUCUAAAAAAUGAACUAGACAGGUAAGGUUUUUUUUUGGAUUGCUUGAGGUAGGACUUCUAGGAACAAAGGAGCAGCACUUGGAGAAGACGGGGGCCAAAAAUAUAGUUGCAAUAUUCAGAUAUAUUAAGCGAGAACUUGGUAGAUCAAGAUAAGUACAACAAGGAGAUCUCCCUUGCCUCUUAUGCAGUCCGACAGGUUUGGAAAGAAAUAAGUGGAGAUCUUUUUAGGCCAAAGAGAUGGAUCUGGAAGUUUUUUUUGUGUGUGGAUGGAAGAGUUGGUUUCUGAAGUUAUUAGAAUGUUAACCUCCCUUUGGAGGCAUUUGACACCUAGCCUUUGCUCCUUUACAACCGAGCUGACUUCUUGACAUCCUUGAAAUUUCUUUUCUACUUUUUCAUCUUGUUAUGUUGCCUCUUGGAUAAGAUUCAACCUGUUUCCUGUAGGAAAAAUAAGAUUGAAAAAGUAUAUUAUUAGCCUGCAUCAAUUGCAGUGCGUAACACGUCAGAUUAUACACAAUAAUGGCCCCUUGUAUGGAAGAAGAGGUGAGAUAAUUGCACAUUAUUAUUCUUGAGAUGAUUGCAGUAAGUAAGCAUAAGAAGAGCGAUGCUUCACGUACGACAAAUCACAUACGAUUUUUGUCAAUGCGAAAAAGGCAGCCUUGAUUGCAUAUGUAGGAAGCGUCGUCACCAUCCAUCGCCAGGUCAUACAAAAAUAGGAAUAACUUUAGUCGUGCGUGAAUUAAUUUAGUUUGAGUAACAAUGAUGGGAAGAACCUCACAUGGUUUUAUCAUUGAUGGUAGGCACCCAACAUGGUUUCCAUCUUUGAUUCAUUAUGGAUUCAUGGUCAACGCUUUCAAUCGGUGGUGAGAGAUGUUGUCGUGGGUGCUUAAAUGUUUGAUGUUAGAUGUUGUCGGUUCCCUAGGACAUGUUCGCUUUUUUCUGUUAUGUUUGGAUGCUUUGUAUCAUUACUCGGUGGCAAAAAAAUUCUAAGGGCUUUAUCGCAAAAAGCUUCUGGACUGGAUGAAGAAUAUCAAUGGAACAUGUGGAUUGCAUGAGUAUGGUGUUGCAAGAGUUACGUGAGGAUUUGACAUUUGUUUGGAUGCGG